AUAUUUCCAGUUUAUGUUUCUGUGUUUCUGAAUAUAACAAAGGCAAUACAUUAUAAUUGUUAAAUUAACAAUGUUGCAAUCUACCUCUCUAUUAUCACUUACAAUUUAGGAAUACGGCAGUCCAUAUUGUUACCAUAACAAUGAAACGGAUUCCCAUAGCUACAGCAAUGAAACAGCAGAAAAAAAAUGGAAUUAAAUUUUCUCUACAUUUGCUUUUGAUUACUGGACAUCUUUGCUUUUGCCGUCGUGUUGAAAAAUCACUUUUUGUUAGCUCCA